rnacentral:rRNA from 1 species
AUGCGAUAAGUAAUGUGAAUUGCAGAAUUCAGUGAAUCAUCGAAUCUUUGAACGCACCUUGCGCCCUUUGGCUAUUCCGAUGGGCAUGCCUGUUUGAGUAUCAUGAACACCUCAACUCUCAUGUUUUGCCAUGAUGAGCUUGGACUUUGGAGGUCUUGCUGGCCUGUCAUCAGCUCCUCUCAAAUGAAUCAGCCUACCAGUGUUUGGUGGCAUCACAGGUGUGAUAACUAUCUAUGCUUGUGGUUUUGUCACCAGAUAACCUUCAGCGAUGGAGGUUCACUGGAGCUUACAAAUGUCUCUCCUCAGCGAGGACAGCUCUUUGAAUGUUUGAUCUCAAAUCAGGUAGGACUACCCGCUGAACUUAA